rnacentral:rRNA from 1 species
GACGAACGCUGGCGGCGUGCUUAACACAUGCACGUCGAACGAAGUGGCGAACGGGUGAGUAACGCGUAAUCAACCUGCCCUUCAGAGGGGGACAACAGUUGGAAACGACUGCUAAUACCGCAUACUGAAGGAGGGGAUUGCGUCUGAUUAGCUAGUUGGAGGGGUAACGGCCCACCAAGGCGAUGAUCAGUAGCCGGCGGGGGAGGAGGAAGGCCAAAAUUGGGAUGGAGCAAGGGCCAGACUUCUAAGGGGAGGCGCAAGGGGGAAUCUUCCGCAAUGGACGAAAGUCUGACGGAGCAACGCCGCGUGAGUGAUGACGGCCUUCGGGUUGUAAAGCUCUGUUAAUCGGGACGCGGUACCGGAAUAGAAAGCCACGGCUAACUACGUGCCAGCCGCCGCGGUAAUUC